rnacentral:misc_RNA from 1 species
AACGCACGAGACCUGCGGACCUGCGGAAGGAUCAUUACAAGUGACCCCGGUCUAACCACCGGGAUGUUCAUAACCCUUUGUUGUCCGACUCUGUUGCCUCCGGGGCGACCCUGCCUUCGGGCGGGGGCUCCGGGUGGACACUUCAAACUCUUGCGUAACUUUGCAGUCUGAGUAAAUUUAAUUAAUAAAUUAAAACUUUCAGCAAUGGAUCUCU